AAAGUAUUCUUAAGACAUUUAAUUUUUUUUUAAAUUUAUUAUAUAAGCUAAUCAAUGAUUACAUGACAUAUGGGUAUGAAGUAGUAAACAUGUUUAUUACAAACUAUGAUUUAGAUGAAAAAUUUGGUCAGUGAAUACUCAUUUUAAAAAAUUAAGAGAAAUUUAGUUUCUUUGUGACAAUAUGACAAAUUCUUCUAUUAGUGGCAUUUAUGUGAAUAAAGCCAUUCCAAAUUCUCUGGGUUCCUUAACCACUAAAAUGAACCUCACUGUAGUUACAUCUUGGACCUUGUCCAUGGAAGUUUAAAGCUCAAAGUAUCAGCACUUUAAAUUGGUUUCAUCUAUAAUGGUUUACUUUUAACGAGACAGGAUGUUCAAUAUGAGAUUAAUGUAGAAUGAGCCCUGGCUCCAGACCAAGUAAGUUUCUGAUAUUUUACUCUCUAGUGCUGUUUCCCACAGCUUUUAUGCACUGCCGAGAGACCGACAACUGCAAACUACUCCUCAAGUAAAUUUGUUAAAAAUUGGAAUGGAUUGUCUGGUUGUUCCUUUAUUUGGUAAAGUUUAUACUUUUUGAACAGAUUUGUUUAUUGUUGAAUAGACAUGUCUUCUAAGCUCUUAGGAAUUACAUAUUUUCUUGACCUGAUUCCUCCAGGUCCAGUAGAAGUUAGCCAAUAAACUGAGGCAGGCAAGUGUGUUCUGGCUCCCAGAGGGAGAAUAAUCUUCAUUUAGUGGAAAUGCAAAUAAUUG
rnacentral:lncRNA from 1 species